rnacentral:rRNA from 1 species
AUGCUCUGCAUCCCACCAUACCAGGUUACGAAGGCAGGCCCCCGGGUACGCAACGGGAGCGGUGAUUUCUCCGGGGGGUAUUUUCUACCACCAUCUCCGGCUUUACCGGACUGGGGGCUGGAACCUGCCGCGUCGAGUUGGAUCCGUCUAGAUCUUACUACCGAUGCACGCCAGGAACACCAUCUUCAUCUUCACCCACGCGAGGAACGUGAACCAAAGAAGUCAAGAAAUAAUGUUGAACCCGAAGUGACCACAAUUAUGAUCUGGAACGUGCCCCACUCUGCCUACUGUGAGGACCUGAGGAGCAUCUUUGAGGGAGUCAAUGGGAUCGUUGCUGUUUACUACAGUAGUUUGAGACGUAUUAUGCUUGUGGAUUUUGUGACCAGGCAAGCUGCACGCAAGGCUCGCAAUUUGCUGAGGGACAAUCGGGCGAUGAGCAAUUGGCUGAGGAAUUACUCACUCAACACUGCAUUCUUUCACAAUAAGAAGUAUGUCUUUGACAGAUAUUCGUCAUUGCCUUGGGCAAGGUCUGGAACUUCUGUAUGCAUUCAUGGCCUUGAUUCAUCUCUCCAUGUUGACGAGAUAAGAACAAUGCUUGCAGGACACUUCGGGCCCAACAAUGAAGGAAUUAGAAUUCCAACAAAUUUAGAUGGUUCGAGCAUUGGGAAAGCUUACAUAAAGUAUGGGAGCUGGUGUUAUUUUUCAGAAGCACUCAAUUUGAAUGGUUCAAACCUUGGAGGGCAAAAGUUGAUGGUCACUGAAUGUGAUGGGGGCAGUAGAUUCUGGGAUGGCCAUAUCUCUCCUAAUGGGCCUGGUACAGGGAAGAGGAAAGUUUUUGAACAAUGA